rfam:Gossypium raimondii Chr13_contig_798, whole genome shotgun sequence.
UGUUAAAAAUUUCAUCCAUUUCUACUGUUAAAAAUUGGCGUGGCUAACAGAAUAACCAAACGGUUACUUGUUGCAUGCCACGUGUACCUCAUGCUAAUGUAAAGAGAUAGUAGAAAUGAAUGAAAUUUUUAACA